UCCCUUGAGGACUUAGUGACGCAGCUAACGCAAUAAGUAGACCGCCUGGGGAGUACGGCCGCAAGGUUAAAACUCAAAUGAAUUGACGGGGGCCCGCACAAGCGGUGGAGCAUGUGGUUUAAUUCGAUGCAACGCGAAGAACCUUACCUGGUCUUGACAUAUCUAGAAUCCUGCAGAGAUGCGGGAGUGCCUUCGGGAAUUAGAAUACAGGUGCUGCAUGGCUGUCGUCAGCUCGUGUCGUGAGAUGUUGGGUUAAGUCCCGCAACGAGCGCAACCCUUGUCCUUAGUUACCAGCGGUUUGGCCGGGAACUCUAAGGAUACUGCCAGUGACAAACUGGAGGAAGGCGGGGACGACGUCAAGUCAUCAUGGCCCUUACGACCAGGGCUACACACGUGCUACAAUGGUAGGUACAGAGGGCAGCUACACAGCGAUGUGAUGCGAAUCUCAAAAAGCCUAUCGUAGUCCAGAUUGGAGUCUGCAACUCGACUCCAUGAAGUANGAAUCGCUAGUAAUCGCGGAUCAGAAUGCCGCGGUGAAUACGUUCCCGGGCCUUGUACACACCGCCCGUCACACCAUGGGAGUUGAUUGCACCAGAAGUGGGUAGCCUAACCUUUUAGGA
rnacentral:rRNA from 1 species